rnacentral:rRNA from 1 species
AAUCAACGCUGGCGGCGUGCCUCAGACAUGCAAGUCGAACGAGAACCUCCCUUCGGGGAGGGGACGAGUGGCGCACGGGUGAGUAACACGUGGGUAAGUUUACCUUUGGGUGGGGAACGAACAGCCGGAAACGGCUGCUAAUACCGCAUAAUGCAGCGGCUCGACAUCGAGACAGUUGUUAAAGCGGGGGAGUCGCAAGACCUCGCGCCUAAAGAGAAGCCCGCGGCGGAUUAGCUAGNGGUUAGGGUAA